CUUGGUCAUUUAGAGGAAGUAAAAGUCGUAACAAGGUUUCCGUAGGUGAACCUGCGGAAGGAUCAUUCACAAACGAGUGUUUUAUGGCACUCUUUAAAAAUCCAUAUCCACCUUGUGUGCAAUGUUUGUUGGGAAAGUCUUUUCUUUCCCUUCAUAAAUAUCAACCUAUAUCUUUAACAACAUUCGUCUGAUAACAUAUUAUGAAUAUACUUAAUUCAAAAUAUAACUUUCAACAACGGAUCUCUUGGCUCUCGCAUCGAUGAAGAACGCAGCGAAAUGCGAUACGUAAUGUGAAUUGCAGAAUUCAGUGAAUCAUCGAAUCUUUGAACGCAUAUUGCGCUCUUUGGUAUUCCGAAGAGCAUGCUUGUUUGAGUAUCAGUAAACACCUCAACCUCUCUUUUUUGAUAAAAAAAAGGGAGGGUGGACUUGAGCUAUCCCAACGACCUUCACCGGUAGGCGGGCGGCUUGAAAUGCAGGUGCAGCUGGACUUUUAUCUGAGCUAAAAGCAUAUCUAUUUAGUCCUCGUCAAACAGGAUUAUUACUUUUGCUGCAGCUAACAUAAAGGAUAAUUGUCCUCUUUGCUGACUGAUGCAGGAUUUUACGACACUUUAUGUGUUGUUCAACUCGAUCUCAAAUCAAGUAAGACUACCCGCUGAACUUAAGCAUAUCAAUAAGCGGAGGAAAAGAAACUAACAAGGAUUCCCCUAGUAACGGCGAGUGAAGCGGGAUGAGCUCAAAUUUGAAAUCUGGCUGGUUUACUAGUCCGAGUUGUAAUUUAAAGAAGCGUUUUCGGUGGCAGCCCGGGUAUAAAUCCUUUGGAAUAGGGUAUCAUAGAGGGUGAGAAUCCCGUCUUUGACCUAGUGCAUGCUACUAUGUGAUACGUUUUCAAAGAGUCGAGUUGUUUGGGAAU
rnacentral:sRNA from 1 species